AUUGGCCUACGGGGCGCAGCAGUGGGGAAUAUUGGGCAAUGGGCGCAAGCCUGACCCAGCAACGCCGCGUGAAGGAAGAAGGCCCUCGGGUUGUAAACUUCUUUUAUCAGGGACGAAGAAGUGACGGUACCUGAUGAAUAAGCCACGGCUAACUACGUGCCAGCAGCCGCGGUAAUACGUAGGUGGCAAGCGUUAUCCGGAUUUACUGGGUGUAAAGGGCGUGUAGGCGGGGAAGCAAGUCAGAUGUGAAAUUCCAGGGCUCAACCCUGGAACUGCAUUUGAAACUGUUUUUCUUGAGUGAUGGG
rnacentral:rRNA from 1 species